rnacentral:rRNA from 1 species
GGACGAACGCUGGCGGCGUGCCUAACACAUGCAAGUCGAGCGGGGACAUGCGACGGAAGUGAAGUUUCGGAUGGAGCGGAAGAUGCAUGUCUAGCGGCGGACGGGUGAGUAACGCGUGAGCAACCUGUCCCUUACAGGGGAUAACACAGCGAAAGUUGUACUAAUACCGCAUAAGACCACGGUAGGACAUCCUACAGGGGUCAAAGGAGUAAUCCGGUAAGGGGUGGGCUCGCGUCCGAUUGGAUAGUUGGUGAGGUAACGGCCCACCAAGUCGACGAUCGGUAGCCGACCUGAGAGGGUGAUCGGCCACAUUGGGACUGAGACACGGCCCAAACUCCUACGGGAGGCAGCAGUGGGGAAUAUUGGGCAAUGGGGGAACCCUGACCCAGCAACGCCGCGUGAGGGAAGAAGGUUUUCGGAUCGUAAACCUCUGUCCUUGGUGAAGAGAGAGAGACGGUAGCCAAGGAGGAAGCCCCGGCUAACUACGUGCCAGCCGCUGC